GCUGGGCGUGGUGGCGGACGCCUGUAGUCCCAGCUACUUGGGAGGCUGAGGCAGGAGAAUGGCGUGAACCCGGGAGGCGGAGCUUGCAGUGAGCCAAGAUGGUGCCACUGCACUCCAGCCUGGGUGACAGUGCAAGACUCUGUCUCAA
rnacentral:SRP_RNA from 1 species